AUGACGAACGCUGGCGGCGUGCUUAACACAUGCAAGUCGAACGGAAAGGCCCUGCUUUUGUGGGGUGCUCGAGUGGCGAACGGGUGAGUAACACGUGAGUAACCUGCCCUUGACUUUGGGAUAACUUCAGGAAACUGGGGCUAAUACCGGAUAGGAGCUCCUGCUGCAUGGUGGGGGUUGGAAAGUUUCGGCGGUUGGGGAUGGACUCGCGGCUUAUCAGCUUGUUGGUGGGGUAGUGGCUUACCAAGGCUUUGACGGGUAGCCGGCCUGAGAGGGUGACCGGCCACAUUGGGACUGAGAUACGGCCCAGACUCCUACGGGAGGCAGCAGUGGGGAAUAUUGCACAAUGGGCGGAAGCCUGAUGCAGCAACGCCGCGUGCGGGAUGACGGCCUUCGGGUUGUAAACCGCUUUCGCCUGUGACGAAGCGUGAGUGACGGUAAUGGGUAAAGAAGCACCGGCUAACUACGUGCCAGCAGCCGCGGUGAUACGUAGGGUGCGAGCGUUGUCCGGAUUUAUUGGGCGUAAAGGGCUCGUAGGUGGUUGAUCGCGUCGGAAGUGUAAUCUUGGGGCUUAACCCUGAGCGUGCUUUCGAUACGGGUUGACUUGAGGAAGGUAGGGGAGAAUGGAAUUCCUGGUGGAGCGGUGGAAUGCGCAGAUAUCAGGAGGAACACCAGUGGCGAAGGCGGUUCUCUGGGCCUUUCCUGACGCUGAGGAGCGAAAGCGUGGGGAGCGAACAGGCUUAGAUACCCUGGUAGUCCACGCUGUAAACGGUGGGUACUAGGUGUGGGGUCCAUUCCACGGGUUCCGUGCCGUAGCUAACGCUUUAAGUACCCCGCCUGGGGAGUACGGCCGCAAGGCUAAAACUCAAAGGAAUUGACGGGGCCCCGCACAAGCGGCGGAGCAUGCGGAUUAAUUCGAUGCAACGCGUAGAACCUUACCUGGGUUUGACAUGGAUCGGGAGUGCUCAGAGAUGGGUGUGCCUCUUUUGGGGUCGGUUCACAGGUGGUGCAUGGCUGUCGUCAGCUCGUGUCGUGAGAUGUUGGGUUAAGUCCCGCAACGAGCGCAACCCUUGUUCACUGUUGCCAGCACGUUAUGGUGGGGACUCAGUGGAGACCGCCGGGGUCAACUCGGAGGAAGGUGGGGAUGACGUCAAGUCAUCAUGCCCCUUAUGUCCAGGGCUUCACGCAUGCUACAAUGGCUGGUACAGAGAGUGGCGAGCCUGUGAGGGUGAGCGAAUCUCGGAAAGCCGGUCUCAGUUCGGAUUGGGGUCUGCAACUCGACCUCAUGAAGUCGGAGUCGCUAGUAAUCGCAGAUCAGCAACGCUGCGGUGAAUACGUUCCCGGGGCUUGUACACACCGCCCGUCAAGUCAUGAAAGUUGGUAACACCCGAAGCCGGUGGCCUAACCGUUGUGGGGGAGCCGUCGAAGGUGG
rnacentral:rRNA from 1 species